GAUGAACGCUGGCGGCGUGCCUAAUACAUGCAAGUCGAGCGAACGGACGAGAAGCUUGCUUCUCUGAUGUUAGCGGCGGACGGGUGAGUAACACGUGGAUAACCUACCUAUAAGACUGGGAUAACUUCGGGAAACCGGAGCUAAUACCGGAUAAUAUUUUGAACCGCAUGGUUCAAAAGUGAAAGACGGUCUUGCUGUCACUUAUAGAUGGAUCCGCGCUGCAUUAGCUAGUUGGUAAGGUAACGGCUUACCAAGGCAACGAUGCAUAGCCGACCUGAGAGGGUGAUCGGCCACACUGGAACUGAGACACGGUCCAGACUCCUACGGGAGGCAGCAGUAGGGAAUCUUCCGCAAUGGGCGAAAGCCUGACGGAGCAACGCCGCGUGAGUGAUGAAGGUCUUCGGAUCGUAAAACUCUGUUAUUAGGGAAGAACAUAUGUGUAAGUAACUGUGCACAUCUUGACGGUACCUAAUCAGAAAGCCACGGCUAACUACGUGCCAGCAGCCGCGGUAAUACGUAGGUGGCAAGCGUUAUCCGGAAUUAUUGGGCGUAAAGCGCGCGUAGGCGGUUUUUUAAGUCUGAUGUGAAAGCCCACGGCUCAACCGUGGAGGGUCAUUGGAAACUGGAAAACUUGAGUGCAGAAGAGGAAAGUGGAAUUCCAUGUGUAGCGGUGAAAUGCGCAGAGAUAUGGAGGAACACCAGUGGCGAAGGCGACUUUCUGGUCUGUAACUGACGCUGAUGUGCGAAAGCGUGGGGAUCAAACAGGAUUAGAUACCCUGGUAGUCCACGCCGUAAACGAUGAGUGCUAAGUGUUAGGGGGUUUCCGCCCCCUAGUGCUGCAGCUAACGCAUUAAGCACUCCGCCUGGGGAGUACGACCGCAAGGUUGAAACUCAAAGGAAUUGACGGGGACCCGCACAAGCGGUGGAGCAUGUGGUUUAAUUCGAAGCAACGCGAAGAACCUUACCAAAUCUUGACAUCCUUUGACAACUCUAGAGAUAGAGCCUUCCCCUUCGGGGGACAAAGUGACAGGUGGUGCAUGGUUGUCGUCAGCUCGUGUCGUGAGAUGUUGGGUUAAGUCCCGCAACGAGCGCAACCCUUAAGCUUAGUUGCCAUCAUUAAGUUGGGCACUCUAAGUUGACUGCCGGUGACAAACCGGAGGAAGGUGGGGAUGACGUCAAAUCAUCAUGCCCCUUAUGAUUUGGGCUACACACGUACUACAAUGGACAAUACAAAGGGCAGCGAAACCGCGAGGUCAAGCAAAUCCCAUAAAGUUGUUCUCAGUUCGGAUUGUAGUCUGCAACUCGACUACAUGAAGCUGGAAUCGCUAGUAAUCGUAGAUCAGCAUGCUACGGUGAAUACGUUCCCGGGUCU
rnacentral:rRNA from 1 species